AGAGUUGAAAGGAGCUAAUAGAGGUAAGUCUCUUUCUCCUAAGUUAAACUGAUUAUUACUUAUGGAAAUGAUGUGAGCAAGUAGAAAUUAACUUAAAAAUUGAAAAAUUAUGCAUGUUGGGAAGAGAUGAAAUUUUGGCCAGCCAUAAAAUUCUAGGGUUUUAAAGUGUUUCGAUCUAAUUAAACAUGAAUUAGAACUUGUUGGGAGUAGUAGACAUAAUUGAGAUAGUGUGCAUGAUUAGUGACAAUUGGAAAAAUUAGGGUUUAUGGUGAUUAGGGUUUUGGGAGAAAUUAGGGGUUUUUAAGAAUUAUUGACCAAUUGAUGUUGUGAUGCUCAAUAAUGGUAAAUUGGUGUACUUAUAAGUGUAAAUUGAUGAAUGAAGUUGGAAUAAAUUGUGAAUGUAGCAUGGAUGAAUUCUGGACAAAUGAGUCUAGCUAGUUUAAAUGGCUAUAAGUUGAAGUGUGUUGCUUCAAUUGGAGAUAAAAUUAGGGUCAUAAUGCUACAUUUUUUAUGAAGGAAUCUUGCCCAAAAACUGACCAUAAAUUGAUCUAAAAUUUAGUUGAAUACAGAAUUGGUGCCUUGAUUCUGGGCAGAAUUAACCAAAUGAACAGUACAUAUUCAAAUGGUCAUAACUUUGUGUAGAGAGGUCCAAAUGACCUAUUUUUUAAACCAUUGGAAAGCUUAGAUAUAGUAGAACAACUUUCGUGGAGAAUAGAAAUCCAAAUUCUGACAAUAACCUAGUCAAAUUGCUAACCAAAAUUAGGUCACUAAAACUGCCAGAACCAAAAACUUGCCCAGAAAAUCUGGAAAUGACUAAUCCGGCCAGUUAUGGUAAAAAUACUAUAAAUUGAGCUACAAAACUCCAAAUGGAGUGAUUCAAAAAGAGAAUUAAACUAGACACAUUAAGGAACAACUUUGAUAAAAGUUUAGCCAAAUUUCCACUGUAGAUUGGUUCAAUGGAAUAAUAAACAUUAGUGACUAAAUCUAAAAUUUUGAGAUUAAUUCUAAUAGACUUUGAAUUGCAAUUGACAACCAAUGCUAACAAAUUUGUGACCCAAAAUGUGGUAUGACCAUGUGUUUAGAAAUCGUAUACCUAUUAAUUAUAAAAAAGUCAACAUGUUAACAUGAAUAAUCAAGUGAAUAGUAAUCACAAAUACACCAAAUGUAAAGAACUCAAUCCUUAAGAGAAAUUAUGAGUAAAAUUGAGUAGGCAAAAAUUCAAUUGUUGGAUUUAGUAUUAGAAAUGGUUUGAAUGGGUAUUGAAACACUUUCAAAUUAUGUGUUUCAGUUGAAAAGGAGCCCUCCAAGAAAGGAGGAAGAGGGGACUAAGUCAAGGCAAACAUAAGAGAUGGGGAGAAGAAUAAAGCAGCAGAGUGAGUUGCUAAAGUUGCAGGAAAAAAAAUCUAUUUUUGGGCUUUUUACGGGUAUAACACUUUAUACCCUUAUAAAUUUCUUUUUGAUGUAAAUUUUUGUUCAUAUGUAUCUAUUGAACUAGAUGAGCAGUUGUAUAAUUAAAAUUAUAAUAAUAAUAUUUUGUUCU